GACGAACGCUGGCGGCGUGCUUAACACAUGCAAGUCGAACGGAAAGGCCCUGCUUUUGUGUGGUGCUCGAGUGGCGAACGGGUGAGUAACACGUGAGUAACCUGCCCUUGACUUUGGGAUAACUUCAGGAAACUGGGGCUAAUACCGGAUAGGAGCUCCUGCUGCAUGGUGGGGGGUGGAAAGUUUCGGCGGUUGGGGAUGGACUCGCGGCUUAUCAGCUUGUUGGUGGGGUAGUGGCUUACCAAGGCUUUGACGGGUAGCCGGCCUGAGAGGGUGACCGGCCACAUUGGGACUGAGAUACGGCCCAGACUCCUACGGGAGGCAGCAGUGGGGAAUAUUGCACAAUGGGCGGAAGCCUGAUGCAGCAACGCCGCGUGCGGGAUGACGGCCUUCGGGUUGUAAACCGCUUUCGCCUGUGACGAAGCGUGAGUGACGGUAAUGGGUAAAGAAGCACCGGCUAACUACGUG
rnacentral:rRNA from 1 species